UACAGAGGGUGCAAGCGUUAAUCGGAAUUACUGGGCGUAAAGCGCGCGUAGGUGGUUCAGCAAGUUGGAUGUGAAAUCCCCGGGCUCAACCUGGGAACUGCAUCCAAAACUACUGAGCUAGAGUACGGUAGAGGGUGGUGGAAUUUCCUGUGUAGCGGUGAAAUGCGUAGAUAUAGGAAGGAACACCAGUGGCGAAGGCGACCACCUGGACUGAUACUGACACUGAGGUGCGAAAGCGUGGGGAGCAAACAGG
rnacentral:rRNA from 1 species